UAGUAGUCACGAGUUUGAUCCUGGCUCAGGAUGAACGCUAGCGGCAGGCCUAAUACAUGCAAGUCAAGGGGGUAGCAAUACCACCGGCGGACGGGUGCGUAACACGUACACAACGUACCCAAGGGAGGAGGAAAGCGGCGGGAAACUGCCGGUAAUACUCCAUGGUGUUGUUGAAUGGCAUCAUUUAACAACUAAAGUACAAGCGCCCUUGGAUCGGUGUGCGUCCGAUUAGCUAGUUGGCGGGGUAACGGCCCACCAAGGCUUCGAUCGGUAGGGGGUGUGAGAGCAUGACCCCCCCACACGGGUACUGAGACACGGACCCGACUCCUACGGGAGGCAGCAGUGGGGAAUCUUAGACAAUGGGCGCAAGCCUGAUCUAGCCAUGCCGCGUGAUCGAUGAAGGCCUUAGGGUUGUAAAGAUCUUUCAGUGGGGAAGAUAAUGACUGUACCCANAGAAGAAGCCCCGGCUAACUCCGUG
rnacentral:rRNA from 1 species